rnacentral:lncRNA from 1 species
GGGGGAAACAGGGACUCUCGCUAGGCCAGAGUCCCUGCUAGAGCGCUUCCUACUCAGCAGUUCGAAUCCCAGUUUCCACACAGAAGAGAUGGGGCCAGGCUCCCCGCUCUGCAAACAUCGUGAACUUCCUGAGACUCCACCCCUGUGGGCAGGGUGGUUGGAGUUUCUUCAGGGACUCCUUCCCAUGUGGCUGUCUCAAUGCUGUGGCUACGUUCAUGUAUUUAGUUACCUAUGUGAUGAGCUACAGCAACUACUCAGAAUCAGCAGAAAGAUAGCUCUGCAAUUUGGCAUCCUCAGCAAGAAUAUGCAGGAAUGCUCAGGGCCUGUGGUGAACUAACUCUGCCUAGAGUGUGCCCCUGGUGAUAUUUGUUUGCAAGUCAUUGACAGAAGUGAAGUUUCCACCAAGAUUCAGCUGAGACCUUGCCGCUGCAGGCUAAGAUCCUCAACUCUCUAGUGUGGACGUCACAUCUGGAAUCUUGUGUCUUCUGAUUGAGGCCCCCUGGCACACAGUGAGGAGGACCACAGUUAAUCUUCUCAUGAUUUAUACUUCCUAUAUUUCCUAUGUUGGUUUUAUGAGUUAAAUAAAUUAUCAUUGCUUCUACGACAU